rnacentral:misc_RNA from 1 species
GAACUGGUACAUGGGUUAAAAAUUUAUCUAUUAGGAGCAUAGAGAUGUAGUCCCCCAAACUGUUACCCUGUUACUUAAAAUAUUGGUUAAUUAAGGCAAUUUAUGAGGAAAAAAAAUGUAUAUGCACAUAACUUAAACUCUGUAAUCGCCUGAUAGAGUUAGGAACACAAAUUAAUGCUUUGUAAAAGAGAGAAAAGAAAUCUGGAAGAUAGCAAUUCACUUGUAUUGAAAUAGCAACUCCAAAUACAAGAUUAGUUCUGCAAAUACUUAGUUCCCUUAAUAACUCUCUUCUCUGCAAUAAAAUCAACCUACUGAAUUAAAGAACUUAGUUCAAAAGGUGAAGAAAAAAAUAAGAAACACUCAGGAGACAGCUCUCCCCAGCAAGAUAGCAAACUUGCCCCAGCAAUCUUGCUGAAAUCCCAGAAUAUUAUUUUCAUGCUUCUUCUGCUCAUAUUGCCUCUAUUUAAGCUUUUUCUCCAUCUGCUAUUGGUUUUCCUCCUGCUGCAAUUCUGUUAACAUUUCCUUGUCCUUCCAUCCGAGAAUUUCUCCAACAGAAUUACACACUCUCUCUCUCCUCCAAUUUACAACUUCCCAAUUCUGCAUCUUUU